rnacentral:lncRNA from 1 species
CUGCUAAACUUUUAUUCCCACCAUGGGAAUUGAUAUCAUGCAUCGAUUACUUUGAUAUUCAUGUUUAAAGUAUUAACAUUUUUAAGUUCAUGAUAUAAUGUUUCAUAGAUAUGGUUCUGAUACACCCUGCCGUAAAAUAUUUUUCCGAUUGAUUUUUUGCUGAUGUUGCAAGUAACAUUGCUGAAGGACACAUUUGGAAAUGAUCAUUUACCUGAUAC